rnacentral:lncRNA from 1 species
UAUUUUUUCCUUAUCUCUGCUUUUCAAAUUCCACCCUCUCAUUAAGACCUAACUCAAAGGCACCUGCUGUAGGAAUCUUUCUCUAGUUACACCCACUGAAAAUGACCUCUGUCUUCUAGGGUCUAUAAUCCAGACAUCUAACAUUUGCCACCCACAAACCUAGGAUAGCCAGUUAAUGUCUCAGUCUUCAUUGCCACAUUUGGUCUUGCCCAGAGGGGACAAAUUUUAUUCUUCCUCUUCACACAAUCAUGUUUCAUAGGGCAAGUUAAAAAACAAUGUGAAGCAUUUAGGAAAAACAAAAUUAAGCAGCGAAGCUCUUUAGAGCAACAGAGGCUUUUAAAGAGAGUUCUCUCAGGUAAUGUAAGCGGCUGCUUUCUCACCGCUCUCACAAGGGCAUGCCAUGGGGCCAAACGAGCAAUCCCUCCAGCCCCAGGAGAAAGAGCUGAGCUGCAAUGAGGACCAAAUCCAUUUAUUUUUAUGUCUCAAUGAAAAUACUGGAUAGUUUGUAAAUCACACAUGCUCUGAGUAGCAGACUGUGCUUGGAGUAUUUGAAAACAUCUUCCACUCCCCCUCGCCCCCAAUGCACACAAACUGUUUUCCAAAAGGUCAGACUUUGUGGAUUUAGCUCAGGAGUCAAGAUGACAGGUUCAAUCCCUUGCUUCCAAUAGGAGCCGUGGACUUUAUAUAAUCUUAGAUGGAUAGAUGAUGGACCAACCAGACAGAGACAGGGAGAUGUGUGUAUGUGUGCGAGUGUGUGUAUAGGGGGGAGAUGGAGAGAGAAUGAGAGAGAUUAGAGAUAGAAAUAAGGAUAGAUAGGUAGAUG